rnacentral:rRNA from 1 species
UGCAGAAUCCCGUGAACCAUCGAGUCUUUGAACGCAAGUUGCGCCCUAAGCCAUUAGGCCGAGGGCACGUCUGCCUGGGUGUCACAC